AGUCCUUUAGAAUUUCAGUAAAUAGUGGGAAAGCUGCUCAACUAGUGAGACGAAAUUACCUAUGCCCAACUUGUCGUGUGCCAAUUAUGUGCCAACAAUAAAAUUUGGGGAUUGAAAUUCGCAAAUUUGGGGAUUGAAAUUUGGGGAUUAUAAUCCAUACUCAUUCUUUUCUCUUAUAGUUACUAUAGUUUUGUCUUUACUCAUUUGUGUUUUGUGUCUAUGUGAAAUCUUUAACUAUAAAAGGAAAAUUGGAGUGUGGAUUGUAAAAUGAGAAGUGCAAAUUUCAUUCCCCUAAAAUUUUGACAAUGUGGAAUUCCACUCACAACUCUUAACAGAAAUCUAACUAUAUUAACUUUUAUUAAAUUGGGAUUUUUAAUAAAGAAAAACAACUCGGUCUAUUCUUUCUUCCAAUUUUUUUCUCCUCCAGCCUUUUCCGCUUCCUCUCUACUUCUCCUCAAUCAUCAUCGUCGCUCUUAAACCCAAAAUUCUGUUACAAAAAAACUUCAUUGGCGUGAUUUAGAAGGGGAUCGAGUUGCACAUAGAGAGUAUGGUGAUGAUGCGGGUGUUGAGAACGAAGUUGUGGGAAUUGGGUGGAUUGGGAGAUGAUGCGAUGGAAUUUGUGGCCAUUCAAUGUCGUUGUGGCGGCCGCAGGCUUGGAUGAGGGUACGUGCUGAUGGUAUCUAUGAGGUGUUGUGGAAUGGGGGAGGCAUUGGUCUGGAGGUGGGUGAGGGCGGCAAAAAGGUAACGGAGUUGCAGAGGUUAUUGAGUGGGUUAGGUUUGCCCGGUAAGUGCAUGCAAAAUGCCAUGACUGCUUUAUUGAGGCAACGAGCUAGUUCCUUGCUUAGUCAAAUGGUCGCUGCCUCUUUACGGCAAGGUGAAAUCUCAAUAUAAUAAGAAAACAAAUGUACAAAGUUUUUUAUGGCUCUAUAAGAGCAUUAAGUUUCUAUUAUGUCGCUAUGUUUUAGUCAAAACAAAUAUGGUUGUCAAUGAGGCACUCUUUGCAAAAUGGUUCUUGCUUGAAUGCAUAGGUUGUGUAGGGUAUCCUAAUAUUGUUUUAAGGUGUUCUUACACUAUGGGGUUAAGGUUCAAUGUCUCCUGCUUGUAUUAUGCGGUUUCAUUAAUAAUAACAGCAUGAGGGCAACCUUCUAGCCCUUAUAUAAAAA
rnacentral:lncRNA from 1 species